AGAUUGAACGCUAGCGGGAUGCUUUACACAUGCAAGUCGAACGGCAGCGCGGACUUCGGUCUGGCGGCGAGUGGCGAACGGGUGAGUAAUAUAUCGGAACGUGCCCAGUAGCGGGGGAUAACUACGCGAAAGCGUGGCUAAUACCGCAUACGCCCUACGGGGGAAAGGGGGGAUUCUUCGGAACCUCUCACUAUUGGAGCGGCCGAUAUCAGAUUAGCUAGUUGGUGAGGUAAAGGCUCACCAAGGCGACGAUCUGUAGCUGGUUUGAGAGGACGACCAGCCACACUGGGACUGAGACACGGCCCAGACUCCUACGGGAGGCAGCAGUGGGGAAUUUGGACAAGUAGGGGGAAACCCUGAUCCAGCCA
rnacentral:rRNA from 1 species